rnacentral:rRNA from 1 species
GAAACCAACAGGGAUUGCCUCAGUAACGGCGAGUGAAGCGGCAAGAGCUCAAAUUUGAAAUCUGGCCCCUCCGGGGUCCGAGUUGUAAUUUGUAGAGGAUGCUUCGGGUGCGGCCCCCGUCUAAGUGCUCUGGAACGGGCCAUCGGAGAGGGUGAGAAUCCCGUCUGGGACGGGGUGUCCGCGUCCAUGUGAAGCUCCUUCGACGAGUCGAGUUGUUUGGGAAUGCAGCUCUAAAUGGGUGGUAAAUUUCAUCUAAAGCUAAAUACUGGCCGGAGACCGAUAGCGCACAAGUAGAGUGAUCGAAAGAUGAAAAGCACUUUGAAAAGAGAGUUAAACAGCACGUGAAAUUGUUGAAAGGGAAGCGCUUGCGACCAGACUCGCUUCCGGGGUUCAGCCGGCUUUCGGGCCGGUGUACUUCCCCGGGGGCGGGCCAGCGUCGGUUUGGGCGGCCGGUCAAAGGCCCCUGGAAUGUAACGCCCCUCGGGGCGCCUUAUAGCCAGGGGUGUCAUGCGGCCAGCCUGGACCGAGGAACGCGCUUCGGCACGGACGCUGGCAUAAUGGUCGUAAACGACCCGUCUUGAAACACGGACCAAGGAGUCUAACAUCUACGCGAGUGUUCGGGUGUCAAACCCGUGCGCGCAGUGAAAGCGAACGGAGGUGGGAGCCCCCUCGAGGGGCGCACCAUCGACCGAUCCUGAUGUCUUCGGAUGGAUUUGAGUAAGAGCGUAGCUGUGGGGACCCGAAAGAUGGUGAACUAUGCCUGAAUAGGGCGAAGCCAGAGGAAACUCUGGUGGAGGCUCGCAGCGGUUCUGACGUGCAAAUCGAUCGUCAAAUUUGGGUAUAGGGGCGAAAGACUAAUCGAACCAUCUGGUAGCUGGUUCCUGCCGAAGUUUCCCUCAGGAUAGCAGUAACGCGUAAUCAGUUUUAUGAGGUAAAGCGAAUGAUUA